UGGCUCAGUUGGUAGAGCAUGGUGUUUGCAACGCCAGUGUUGUGAGUUCGAUUCCCAC
rnacentral:tRNA from 1 species